rnacentral:rRNA from 1 species
UACGGAGGAUGCAAGCGUUAUCCGGAAUGAUUGGGCGUAAAGAGCGUGUAGGCGGCUAUGCAAGUCUGGCGUGAAAACUUGAGGCUCAACCUCAAGCUGUCACUGGAUACUGCAUAGCUUGAGUCCGGAAGAGGGAAGUGGAAUUCCUGGUGUAGCGGUGGAAUGCGCAGAUAUCAGGAGGAACACCAAUGGCGAAGGCAGCUUCCUGGUACGGUACUGACGCUGAGACGCGAAAGCGUGGGGAGCAAACAGG